rnacentral:rRNA from 1 species
GAGUUUGAUCCCUGGCUCAGAUUGAACGCUGGCGGCAGGCCUAACACAUGCAAGUCGAGCGGUAGAGAGGAGCUUGCUUCUCUUGAGAGCGGCGGACGGGUGAGUAAUGCCUAGGAAUCUGCCUAGUGGUGGGGGAUAACGUUCGGAAACGGACGCUAAUACCGCAUACGUCCUACGGGAGAAAGCGGGGGACCUUCGGGCCUCGCGCCAUUAGAUGAGCCUAGGUCGGAUUAGCUAGUUGGUGAGGUAACGGCUCACCAAGGCGACGAUCCGUAACUGGUCUGAGAGGAUGAUCAGUCACACUGGAACUGAGACACGGUCCAGACUCCUACGGGAGGCAGCAGUGGGGAAUAUUGGACAAUGGGCGAAAGCCUGAUCCAGCCAUGCCGCGUGUGUGAAGAAGGUCUUCGGAUUGUAAAGCACUUUAAGUUGGGAGGAAGGGCAGUAACUUAAUACGUUGCUGUUUUGACGUACCGACAGAAUAAGCACCGGCUAC